rnacentral:rRNA from 1 species
AUUGAACGCUGGCGGCAUGCCUUACACAUGCAAGUCGAACGGUAACAGGUCUUCGGAUGCUGACGAGUGGCGAACGGGUGAGUAAUACAUCGGAACGUGCCUAGUAGUGGGGGAUAACUACUCGAAAGAGUGGCUAAUACCGCAUGAGAUCUACGGAUGAAAGCAGGGGAUCGCAAGACCUUGUGCUACUAGAGCGGCCGAUGGCAGAUUAGGUGGUUGGGGGGAUAAAAGCUUACCAAGCCGACGAUCUGUAGCUGGUCUGAGAGGACGAUCAGCCACACUGGGACUGAGACACGGCCCAGACUCCUACGGGAGGCAGCAGUGGGGAAUUUUGGACAAUGGGCGAAAGCCUGAUCCAGCAAUGCCGCGUGCAGGAUGAAGGCCUUCGGGUUGUAAACUGCUUUUGUACGGAACGAAAAGCCCCGGGUUAAUACCCUGGGGUCAUGACGGUACCGUAAGAAUAAGCACCGGCCAACUACGUGCCAGCCGCCGCCGUAA